rnacentral:rRNA from 1 species
GUCCUUUUGGUUGUUUAAAAGGUCUGGCCUGCCCAGUGAUAUAGAUUUAACGGCCGCGGUAUAUUGACCGUGCAAAGGUAGCAUAAUCAUUAGUCUUUUAAUAGGGGGCUGGUAUGAAAGGUUAAACGAAACACUAACUGUCUUAUUUAGAAAUAUUAAAAUUUAGCUUUUAAGUCAAAAGGCUUAGAUUUUUUUGGAGGACGAGAAGACCCUAUAGAGCUUUACAUUAGAUUUUUUAUUGUUUUUUGGUUUAAUAUUUUAAUUUUAAUUUAUCUAUUGUUUUGUUGGGGUGACAAUAAAAUAUAAUUAACUUUUUAUCUCAUUUACAUUGGUUUAUGAUUAUCUGAUCCAUUACUAUUGAUCAUUAGAUUAAGUUACCUUAGGGAUAACAGCGUAAUCUUUCUUGGGAGUUCAAAUUUGCAGAAAGGCUUGCGACCUCGAUGUUGGAUUAAGAUAAUAAUUAGGUGCAGUAGCUUAAUAAAUAGGUCUGUUCGACCUUUAAAUUCUUACAUGAUCUGAGUUCAGACCGG